UACGAAGGGUGCGAACGUUACUCGGAAUUAUUGGGCGUAAAGGGUGCGUAGGCGGCUUUACAAGUCUGUUGUUUAAUUUCCCGGCCUAACCGGGAGUCGGCUUCAGAUACUGUUUGGCUAGAGGAUGGAAGAGAGAAGUGGAAUUCUCGGAGUAGCGGUAAAAUGCGUAGAUCUCGAGAGGAACACCGAUGGCGAAGGCAGCUUCUUGGCCCAUUCCUGACGCUGAGGCACGAAAGCGUGGGGAGCAAACAGG
rnacentral:misc_RNA from 1 species